rnacentral:rRNA from 1 species
AGAAUCAACGCUGGCGGCGUGCCUAACACAUGCAAGUCGAACGAGAAAGUGGAGCAAUCCAUGAGUAAAGUGGCGCACGGGUGAGUAACACGUGACUAACCUACCCUUGAGUGGGGGAUAACCUAGAGAAAUCUGGGCUAAUACCGCAUAAUACCUUCGGGUCAAAGGAGCAAUUCGCUUAAGGAGGGGGUCGCGGCCGAUUAGUUAGUUGGCGGGGUAAUGGCCCACCAAGACUGUGAUCGGUAUCCGGCCUGAGAGGGCGCACGGACACACUGGAACUGAAACACGGUCCAGACUCCUACGGGAGGCAGCAGUGGGGAAUUUUGCGCAAUGUGGGAAACCCUGACGCAGCAACGCCGCGUGGAGGAUGAAGCCCCUUGGGGCGUAAACUCCUUUCGAUCGGGAAGAUAAUGACGGUACCGAGAGAAGAAGCCCCGGCUAACUUCGCGCCAGCAGCCGC